GACGAACGCUGGCGGCGUGCCUAAUACAUGCCAGUUGAGCGCUGAAGGUUGGUCCUUGUACCAACUGGAUGAGCAGCGAACGGGUGAGUAACGCGUGGGGAAUCUGCCUUUGAGCGGGGGACAACAUUUGGAAACGAAUGCUAAUACCGCAUAAAAACUUUAAACACAAGUUUUAAGUUUGAAAGAUGCAAUUGCAUCACUCAAAGAUGAUCCCGCGUUGUAUUAGCUAGUUGGUGAGGUAAAGGCUCACCAAGGCGAUGAUACAUAGCCGACCUGAGAGGGUGAUCGGCCACAUUGGGACUGAGACACGGCCCAAACUCCUACGGGAGGCAGCAGUAGGGAAUCUUCGGCAAUGGACGAAAGUCUGACCGAGCAACGCCGCGUGAGGGAAGAAGGUUUUCGGAUCGUAAAACUCUGUUGGUAGAGAAGAACGUUGGUGAGAGUGGAAAGCUCAUCAAGUGACGGUAACUACCCAGAAAGGGACGGCUAACUACGUG
rnacentral:rRNA from 1 species